AAUUGUUUUAAUAAAAACAUGAAAAUUUAUUUAAUUUCAGUUGAGAAUAAAAAUAUUUUAAAUAUAUUUAUAUCAUUUGUUCAUUUGUUUACCCGUCCGUAGCGCAGACCGACCCUAGUAUCUAUCUAUAUAUAUAAAGUAAGGUUAUCUCUCCGGUGAGAGCGCCACGUCACUAAGUCGUUCGACGAUAUGGCGACACGUGUCCUGAUUUAUUUAAACGCUGCGCAUCAUUUUCUCGCUGGUUACGUGGGCUUCGUUUAUGUGUUGUGUUUUGGGCUGUGUAUGGCCCGUUAGAGUAGAAGUCCUAAGUAACCCUAAUUUGACUCCAGAGAAAAACGAGUGUCUUCUUCCCUGUACGUGCUACACCGAUCAGAUGCCAAUUCCACUUCUUCUCAUCGGCUGAAACGGUCCGUGAUCAAUUCCAUUAGUUCACUCCCCCACUAUUUCGUCUUCAUUGCUUCGUUUUGAUUUGAAAGGCGGUUGUUGUUGGGUAUAAAUAUGUGUGAGUGUUUCUCCCUUUAUCUCAUCUUAUCUUGCAUAAUUUAAAUCUCAUACUAAUUGAUCGUGUUAUGGAUGCUUCUUUGUUUAUCGACAUUUUUUUUGAUUCGGCGAGCCUCUUACUGUUUGUUCAACAAUUUUUUUCUUCAUUUCCUGCGAGUUCCUUACUGUUUGGUCAUCGACAUUUUUUGAAUCGGCGAGCCUCUUACUGUUUGUUCAUGAAUUUUUUUUCUUGGAUCUUCUUCCUCUUUGUUGAUUAUGAGAUGUUUGAUGGUUGAAGAGUGUAACGACCCCGAUUUUGGUUUAGUAGCUCAUGGUUUAAUUUAAUUAUUUGAUUGAACCUAACCACUAAUGAACCGAGUUGUAUAUAUCCAUGUGUAUAUAAUCCCUUCUAAAACCUAAAGCGAGAGAAAUGUUUGUUGUAUCGAGAGAAAGAUCAGCCGCCUCCUUUAAUCUAUAUCUCUCUCUGGUUCCCUUCUUCUUCACGUGUGCAUGGCUGUCUAUCGGAGAAGACGAGACGUAAUCACCGAUCACCACCAUCUAUCACCGUUGAGCCACUAUCCGGAUGUCACCUUCCUUGCUUGUUACGCCGGAGCCACCAUGUAGCGUUUAGGACAUGGGCUUGUCGUCAAAUAUCAACCACCACUAAUGUGUUAUGGUUGUCAUGCGAUUGAUUCGAGAAGCAUAAGACGAGAGGAGGAAAUGAGCCAAGCCGGAGUCACCGUCUCAACACCACCAAACCACCACAAUAUAAGCCAUAGGAGGAGCAAGCCAUGUAACCGGAGACUCGUGCGUGAUCACCGGAGUUCGAUCCAACCACCAUCAUCACACGUGAUCCAAAAGCUGUGUAGCUAAGUGUUCCUCCUUGUUACUUGAGAUACAAGCAACCUUCAUCACUUAUUAAAUAAAGCCUAAUCGUAUCAUGCCAUGCGCAGGAGGAAACAUAAAUCUUUGUGUGAAUUAUUUGAUAAGUAAUUCAUGCUAAGCUUAGUCCUGUUGCACGAGAUGAAGGUUCCGAUCCAUUUCCGAUUUUGGCUAAGGUGAGACAGAUGAGUAUAUGAUAUUUGGACGGAUUUGGUGCUACUGGGCUUUUUAUUCGGAUUUUUAUUUGGGUAUAGAGUGAGUGGAGUCGUGUAUAUGGGCUAUUGUGUUAUGAGAUAUUGUUGGUGGCACGCUGUUCUCCAGAUAGGAGGUGACGGGUGUCACAAAGAGGCUAACCAUCUUCAAAAUAAUUUGGCUGCAGAGAAGAUACGCCGUGGUGGUGACCUACGGGUGAACCUUUCCUGUUUGUUCAUCAAAAUAUUUAUUUUUUUGCUUGGAUCUUUUCCUGUUUGUAGAGAUAGGUUUUUGAUACUGCUUUUAUCUGUCACCCAGUAUUGUAGUCAUUCUGCAACUAAACAUGUGUGAGUUUAGUAAUAUAUGUGGUCUGACGGGAGAUGGCGUUCUUAGUUUUAUUGUGCUGUUUUAUUGUGGCAGGUGGAGGGAUCAUAAAUUCCACAAGAAAUGAUUGCUAUACUGCAAAGAGUCGUGGAAGAUAGUUCACAUGUUCUUUUAACUGCAAGGUUGAAGCAGAGGAAAGAAGAAUCAAUUUACGUCUGAGAGAGGAACAAGAUGCUGCUUACAGGGCUUCUCUUGAACCCGAUCAAGCACGGGAGAGCCAGAGACAGGAAGAGGAGGAGCGGUUAGAGAGGGAAGCUGCUGAGGCAGAUAGGAAACGAAAAUAAGAAGAGGAGGCUCAGGAGAGAUCCAAGCGUGAAGCUGCAGAGAGAGAAACUGAUAGAGUGAGAAUGAGACCAGAGAAAGCACUUGCUCUUGGAGACGAUCCUGAGAAAGUACCUGAUGUUGCACAAGUUUUGGUAUGGUUCCCAAAUGGAGAAAGAAAAGGGAGGAGGUUUGAAAGCAUACCAAGAUACAGACACUGUAUGACUGCGUUGAUUCACUUGGAGUGCUUGAAACAGAAGAGUAUAGCUUAAUCACAAACUUUUCAAGAACAGUGUACGGAAGAGACAAAGAGUCAAUGUCACUGAAAGAUGCAGGUUUGCAUCCUCAGGCAAGUCUGUUCAUUGAGAUACAUUAAGUCUCAGAUUCUUCUGUUUCUUUCUCCUUAAGCCACUUUUUUCAGUUUUUUUUCAUCUCUUUUAAAAUAAUUAGUAGUGUAGCUUCAGUGAUCCGAUGAAUAAGAUAACAUAUAUAUACACAUAUUUUCAGAAGUUGUGUCACAUAUUUGAUAUAUUUAUUUCUUAAAAUGAUGAGGUCUCGCAUUGUACCUUUUUUCUUCGUGUCAUAUUGAAAACAUCAAGAUCAGUCUUUGUUUCUAGCUGCAACAAAUAAUUCUUUAGCUGGUAAAUUUCUGGGGAUCAAAAAUGUGUUAUAUAUUGUGAACUAGAAGAAAAAUGUAUGAAAAAGUACAAUUGACUAACAUUUUAAAAAAGGUCAAAAAUAAAAAUAUUGAUGACAAUAUAAAAUAAUUAUAUAUUGGUGGUAAGCAAACUAAAUGAUUUCUAACAAUGAUAAUAUAAUAAAUAGUAAAAAUUGUAAGAGAAAAUAGUAAGAAUAAUAUAAUAGGAAAAUGAUUUUUUGGAUUAGUCAAAACUUAAUUACAUCAUUAAUCAUGAUAAAAAUAAGUACUAUAAUAAGUUCUGACAUUUUUUUUGCCAUCUCAACAAACGGAAAAAGAAAACAUGAUAAAUCAGUGUAAAUUUUUAAAAUUUAUAAUAAAAUUCACAUUUUUAACAUUUGAAUAUUGAACCAUAUAUGUUAACAAUACAACAAAUGCUCCAUAAAUAAUCUUUAUAGCUAACAAUACAUCAUAUAUUUAUGGUUGUUUGUUAUCUUUUUGGUUUAACCUAAACUUUGGUAGUAAAAAAAAAAACAAAUUACAGAAUAUAUUAUUUUCAAAUUUUUGUUAAUGUGGGUUUGAAGAAACAUAAAAAUAUCAACAUGAAUAUAUUUUUCUCAAAGAUGAUAAUACAUGAAUAUAUUAACGAUUUGUAAAUAUUAAACAAUAACAACUAAUAUCAAAUUUUUAUGCUACUUGCCUAUUUUUCUUAAAAAGAUAAAAAUUAGAUUUUCAUUUUCGAUUUUUAAAAUUAUAUAAUUUGAGAAGAAAUGUAUUUAGAAUCCAUUAAAUUCAAGAAAAGCAAAGGUUGUGAACAAAUUAAAAUAUUUAUAUUUUGAUGAAUUGUUUAAAUAUAGUAACAAAUGUACAAUUUCAAAAAAAAAAAAAAGUAAAAUUUAUAGUAAAAAUAUUGAAAUUUAUAAUAAAAUAAACUAAAAUUUUCAUUAAAAUUUAGAUAUGUUUGUAUUAUUGUUUAAUUUGCUCAUAAUAAAAUAAACGUAUAUAAACACAUCAGAAACUCAAGGUCUGUGACGGUCACACGUGUCUCUUUUUUUUUUUAGAAAAAUGUUUCUUUCACUUAGAUUAUUUGGGCUUUUACGGUUUGUAAAGUGGGCUGAUGAAACUCUUCAUCCAAAUACGAUAGUUACAGUCUUCAUCUUAAAAAAUGGUGACGUCUACUUUGGGGAGGUGAUGGGAGAUGAAUAUUCAUCGCCAAUCUCAGGUGCGAGCUGCUGUUCGUUGUCGAAUCUUCUAAAUUUCAUCUUGCCAGAAAAGGGAAACAUGAACCGUUAUGGGUUGCAUUCAAUUGUUCUCAUUAACGGCUCUCUUAACUCCUUCUCCCCCACUCUUUCCACAAUUCCUCAUUCAAUGCCAUUACCCCUUUCCUUAAGUCGGUGAAUCUCAACUAUAAAAAGUGAGUCUUGAUCCCGUGAAUAUCAUUCUUUCACAUAUCACAACCCAAAAAUCUUUCUUUGAGCACAUUAACACCGGCGGAAUCCACCAGAGAAUUCGACUAGCCAAUUUCCGGCGAAUUCGACCUUCCAAGUCCCAGCGUGGUCGAUACGGGUUCCAUCUGCGCUUCGAUAAGGGUUUCGAGCACAGAGAGCGCGUGCAUUAGCGUUUCAGGAACAUACUGGCCACCAAACUUCCCGAACCUACCAAACGAAUCGGGUCGUUGCCACAGGGUCGGGUCAGAUCCGGCGGUCAUUAGAACAGGCGGAUCCUUGGCGUUGGUGCAGUAGACUGAGAAUGAUGACCUUGAGCGGGGGACGUAAAGUUGAGAACUUUGGAGGGUGAUGAUCUCAAAUGGGGUCUAUUGGGAAGAGGAAGAUGAUGAUGAAGGAGGAGGAGAAACUGAGGUUUUGAAUCUCUCACAAUCAAUGUCCUUUAAACGAUCAAGUUCAGCAGAGUACAUGCUUCCAACCAGCUCAUGUUUGGUCUAAUGUUGAACCAGACAUCAGCAGCAUAAAUGAUGGUGAGGAGGUACUGAACACAUAGACUGUCAUGGACCAAGUUUAAGCGUUAGUAGGGAUCAAAGCUAAAGAUAGGUUGCUUACCGAUUGAAAUCUACUAAAACGACUUGAUUUUAGUGCAAUUGGAUUGAUACCACCAUGGAUACGCAUCUCUCUGAUCCGAUGGGAAAACAUCUCUGGCAUGCAAUGGAUCCCCAAGAUUUUAGCCCACCUUUUAGUAAGCUCACUUGCCUUAAGAAUUCCCAAGUAUCUCUUAAACUUUUCUUCAGCAUGUGAUGAUAAGAGAACUCUUCUUCCUAAUGUUCUUGGGAAAUAAAACUCCUAGCCCUUCCUGUUCAGAUUACAUCUUCCCUUUGAUGCCUUCCUAGAUGCAGCUUAUGAUUAUCAGAGUGUUUCCAUAGACUUUUAUCUAGAUGAAUCUGAUUUAAGAGUUCUCCUAAUCCCUGGAUACUUCUAUAAUCCCAAUGCUCACUUAGAAGUUUUGGUUUUGUACAGGUAAAAAGAGUUCUUCACAUUGUGGAGUUGGUGGUAAAAGGCAGCAGGGGCAUUAAGUUGGAGGAAGGACCUGAAUGGAGAGAAGGAAAAUCAAAGAUUCUCUUUAAUGGCUGGACCUGUAAUGGAAAGAACAAGUGAGAUGGUGAUUCAGAGCCCUCAUCUGGUCAGCUUCCUGUCAGAAUGUGGGAACGUCGCUAGGCAUAGAUUCACAGAGUUGUCAAGGGUACCUUACAAAAAUGCAAUUAAUUAUGCAGUAUACUUGGAAGGGUACGCGAAAGAUAUCUCUAUAAAUGUUAUUUAGUGAUCCUGAAAGUACCAAAGCAUUAUAGAAAUAAAGCUAUCCAAGAUUCAAUUAAAAUUUUGUUUAAAAUUU